rnacentral:rRNA from 1 species
CCUACGGGAGGCAGCAGUGGGGAAUUUUGGACAAUGGGCGAAAGCCUGAUCCAGCAAUGCCGCGUGAGUGAAGAAGGCCUUCGGGUUGUAAAGCUCUUUUGUCAGGGAAGAAGCGGUGUGGGCCAAUAUCCCGCACUAAUGACGGUACCUGAAGAAUAAGCACCGGCUAACUACGUGCCAGCAGCCGCGGUAAU